rnacentral:rRNA from 1 species
UACGAAGGGUGCUAGCGUUGUUCGGAAUUACUGGGCGUAAAGCGAGUGUAGGUGGUUGUCAUAGUCAGGCGUGAAAGCCUUGAGCUCAACUCAAGAAAUGCGCUUGAUACUGGGCAGCUAGAGGACCGGAGAGGAUAGUGGAAUUCCCAGUGUAGUGGUGAAAUACGUAGAGAUUGGGAAGAACACCAGUGGCGAAGGCGGCUAUCUGGACGGUACUGACGCUGAGACGCGAAAGCGUGGGGAGCGAACAGG